UAGCCUCAAAACAACACAGAGGUCUCCAGUUGGCCCAUGCCUGGUGUAGAUGCGGCGAGGCAAAAAAGGGCGCGUGGGUAGGAGAGAGAGCACAUGCUCACGCUCACAUACAAAGGGCGGGAGAAGCGCCAAGUCCCCUCGCGGCUCUCCUCCACGCCAGGGUGGGAAAGACGGUCCUGGAGGGGGGGGUUGUUGAGAGAAAGGAACAGCCUCGCUUAAGAGUGGGAGAGAGAUGAAAGAGUGGGGGGCUGUGGAGACCCUCCCUCCCCUCUUUUCCAAAGGAAGGCAGACAAAAGCCCCACCGCCAUGCUUUCCCCUCCCCAAAAAGAGAAGAAUAAUGAAGAGCUGCGUCCCGCUGCGUCCCGAGGGCGAGCCUGUCCAAGCGCACUAGCCGGGCGGCGGCGGAGGAAACGGUCUCUUCUUGUUUUGUUGAAUCCACCACAGAAAGUGAAAGACUCAGAGAACUUUAGGCACCAACUGUGUAAGAGAAAACAAAGAUGUUUUGGAAUCAGGAACACAUAAACACUACUUGGAACAGACUAAAACAGUAAUCAUCAUCACUUUUGUAUGACACAAAUUGGAUACUAGUAGUCUUUCUUUUAUUAAAGUAUUCAGAAGAGUCCUUCAAGCCUAUGAGAAUCUAGCUACAUUGUUAAACCUUAAUCCUCAAAAUUAAUGUUCAUGAAUACACUGUUUCAAAUAAGGGAGAGCACAAUAGUACAGUAAAAUCUGCUUUUGUUACCUAGUUCACAUUUGAAACUUUAAAUCCCAACAGAAUAAGUUAGAAAUAAUUAUUCUCAUUCCAGUAGAGCUACACAUACUUCAAAGCAGUGUUUCUCAAACUCUGUUCAUCCAGGUGUUUUGGACUUCAGCUCCCAAAAAUCCGAACCAGCUGCUAGGAAUUAUCUUUCAACCACAGAUGCCAUUUGUCAAAUGGGGAUAAGAAAUUCUGGAUCCACCAUACCUACACUGAGAGGAACUAAAAAUAGGUGCAUUAUUGUUAAUUUUAAUGUUGGUGGGCUGUACACAAAGAACAUUAAAUGUCUAAAAUGCCCAUGUACAAAGGGUUUUAGAUGUGAGGCUUUCGAGCAGCAACUUUUCUACUGCGGUCAUCAUGACACAGACUAAACUGAAUUGAAGGCCAAAUUAUAUGCAACUUUCCUAGCAUUAAAAUGGGGUGCUUUGAAAAAGAAAAAGGAAAGGAAAGGCUCAAAUUCUCCAUAUCUUCCUUAUAAGCCCCACCCCCAACCUGGUUAGAUUACUAUUUUUUAAAAAUCUGCAUUUUAAAUGCAACACACACACACACACACACAGAAACACACAUUUAAAGUAAUAUUACCUUUGGCCUGAAGGGAAAUUUCAAGUUAUUUGUGACAUGGAAAAGGAAUCAGAUCAUAAACCAUUUUGCUAGUCCAUUCCAAGCCUACUAAGGGAUCUGCCUCUUGACCAGUCUUACUGGUUUCGAUAACUGUAUUUGGUUUGUUUAUCUACUGAUUUGUAUUCAUUUGCACUCUUCAAUUUCUUCUGAAAAAUAAUCAAAGCAGUUAAUUAGACUCUGACUGGCUGCUGCUAUGGAAGGAAAAUAGCUAUCCCCUAUCCUGAUUGGGGCUUUCUGAUGUGAGCAGAAUUAUGGGAAAUGUAGUUUAGGGCAGGGCCUUUUGGAUUCUCUAGCAUGGGGCUUCUCACAUUCUCAAACUACAUUUCCCAGAGUUCUGUGCUUUCUCAAUCCUUUUCCCAGCGAACACUACUCCCUGCUUUCUCUCUUCUAAUGGUGAGAGGCCAUUAAUUUAAAGAGGAAAGGCAGCCUUUUUUUACUUUACUUUGCUUCGUUGCUCUGAAAAUAAAACCAGAUUUAAAGCAACACAUACAUAAUAAAAAAAGAAAAAUCUAGACAACACAAGAAAUUGGCAGGAUACAACAAAACACAAACAUUUCAGUGGAAAGAACUCUCAGCCCUCUGAAAUAAAACAGGUGUCACUGCCGGUCAGAAAGUGUCCAAAGAUGAAGCAAAACAAAUCU
ensembl:lncRNA